AACGAACGCUGGCGGCAGGCUUAACACAUGCAAGUCGAACGCAUCCUUCGGGGUGAGUGGCAGACGGGUGAGUAACGCGUGGGAACAUGCCCUUCAGUUCGGAAUAACCCAGGGAAACUUGGGCUAAUACCGGAUACGUGCGAGAGCAGAAAGAUUGAUCGCUGAAGGAGUGGCCCGCGUCUGAUUAGCUAGUUGGUGAGGUAAAGGCUCACCAAGGCGACGAUCAGUAGCUGGUCUGAGAGGAUGAUCAGCCACACUGGGACUGAGACACGGCCCAGACUCCCACGGGAGGCAGCAGUGGGGAAUAUUGGACAAUGGGCGAAAGCCCGAUCCAGCAAUAUCGCGUGAGUGAAGAAGGGCAAUGCCGCUUGUAAAGCUCUUUCGUCGAGUGCGCGAUCAUGACAGGACUCGAGGAAGAAGCCCCGGCUAACUCCGUGCCAGCAGCCGCAGUAAAAC
rnacentral:rRNA from 1 species